UACGUAGGGGGCAAGCGUUGUCCGGAAUUAUUGGGCGUAAAGAGCGCGUAGGCGGUCCGAUAAGUCGGCUGUGAAAGUCAGGGGCUCAACCCUUGGAAGCCGGCCGAUACUGUCGGACUAGAGUCCGGAAGAGGCGAGUGGAAUUCCCGGUGUAGCGGUGAAAUGCGCAGAUAUCGGGAGGAACACCAAUGGCGAAGGCAGCUCGCUGGGACGGUACUGACGCUGAGGCGCGAAAGCGUGGGGAGCGAACCGG
rnacentral:rRNA from 1 species